CUCCGACUUUUCUUUCCCUCGCCGAAAAACCAGCUCCAGGCUCCAGCAGUAGCCAGUAGGCAACUUCCAAUUUCAUUAUACUAUUGCUCCCGCUAGGGUUCCAGCCUCCUCCAUGGAGUCCUCGUCCGCUCGUAGAUCCUUCACCAGCCGCCUUUUAGUUUUAGGUCCGCCUCUCCUCCCGCAGCCGGGAGUGCUUGGUCUUGGGCGCGCCUGGCCGCCUGCAUGCGCCGAGGGUUUGAGUUAUUGCAUGUGGUGGCACCAAGCAUGAGGCAACAACUGCAUUACUUUCAAGGAAGUUACAAAAUCUAUGGGUCUUCAUAAUCGUGACUUUCUUGCAAGUUGUGCAGUUGCUGUCUCAAGCUUGCUGACUCCGUCUGCCAGACCGCAAUGUGAAAUAGGAAAUUUAGUCAGGUAAAUACUGGAAACAUGGACCCAUGGAGCAUUUCUUCACCGCGUCACCCCUCCACACCUUAAAAAGAACUCAUUUGAAGGCUAGUCCAGCCUCCCUGAAACUUACAUUCACAGACAUUCUCAACUGAGAUGAAGCCACAGAUCUUUGUAUGUUGUAUGUGGACGAAGAACAAACAGAUUAACUCUUGUUCACGUCCCUCCUCAUGUACACUUGUAGUUCUAUUCUAGGAUUUCAACUCUGCACUCCAUCUGCAUCCUGAAUAUUCAGAGUCUCAAAUUUGCACAACUCUCGAUUUGAUUCAGUGAACAAGUCAAUAAGAUAGAUUUUUGGUCGAGGAUAGGUUGAAUAGGUCUGUACUUGCUUAAUGAUGCUAUUCUUUUGACUUUUGAGUAUGGAUGACACGCUGUGUCAGUCUUUGAUCAAAAUGAGAAGAUGCGUGAUUGA
rnacentral:precursor_RNA from 1 species